rnacentral:rRNA from 1 species
ACGUAGGAGGCGAGCGUUAUCCGGAUUCACUGGGCGUAAAGGGCGCGUAGGCGGCCGGAUAAGUCGGAGGUGAAAUCCCGUGGCUCAACUGCGGGGCUGCCUUCGAGACUGUUUGGCUUGAGCGCGGUAGAGGCUGGUGGAAUUCCCGGUGUAGUGGUGAAAUGCGUAGAUAUCGGGAGGAACACCAGUGGCGAAAGCGAUUUUCUGGAUCGUUUCUGACGCUCAGACGCGAAAGCUAGGGUAGCAAACGG